rnacentral:lncRNA from 1 species
GGCUGGUGCUUAGCCUUGCUGCUGAAGUCAUCUGAGGGGAAAAUAAUACUGGGAAUCAGGGAACUGUUUCUUUUAUCUGUUUACGUGAGAGCAGAACCAGGUGCAUGGAGAGGCAGCUGAUUGGCAUGACCUAGACCCCAGCAGUUCCAGUCCUGUGAGGCCCUGCAAUGGCAAAGGAGUAAAGAACUACAACCAGGAUCAAGCAACCAUUCAGCUACCUGUCGGUGCUGGGACAUAGGAAGACCUAUUAGAAGAUGCAAAUCCAGACACUGGAGUUCUUUUGUCACCAUGUGACAUAUACUCCUUUCCUGCCAUGUGACCUAGUUUAGUUCCUCUCCCAGAGGUCUGCAAGAUAAAUAAGCUGGGAGAGGUGUGGAGAUGUCAGUGAGUUGCACUUUGAGUGUUUGGGAGCGGCAAUUUGGAGACACCCUGCUGCACAGAAUAAUUCACUUUGACCAAAUGGACUGCAAGGAAUAUUCUCUGCCUUCAUGAUUGCAUUAUAUUGUGGCAGAGAAUCAGCUUCUCAUUCUCCCAGUUUUGCAGAUGGAGAACCUGAGGCAAAGAGAAGAGCACCCAAGAGGCACAAGAUCCACCAACAAGUCAUUGGUACAGCCAAGAACAGAUUCAACCAUAUUUCAGCGCAUGCAUUGUAUAUCAACUCAUCCUACCACUUCUGCUGUACAGACUGAACAGUGAGUUUGAUGUGCAAGUCACUAAGUGAGCAAAGUUUGCUGUCUCCAGUGUGGUCUCAGUCCCCAGCUAUUGUUUCUGUGGAAAUAAAGAAUGAAUGGG